AGCGAACGCUGGCGGCAGGCUUAACACAUGCAAGUCGAGCGGGCAUCCUUGUGGUGUCAGCGGCAGACGGGUGAGUAACGCGUGGGAACGUGCCCUUCGGUUCGGAAUAACUCAGGGAAACUUGGGCUAAUACCGGAUACGUGCGAGAGCAGAAAGGUUUAUCUGCCGAAGGAUCGGCCCGCGUCUGAUUAGCUAGUUGGUGAGGUUAUGGCUCACCAAGGCGACGAUCAGUAGCUGGUCUGAGAGGAUGAUCAGCCACACUGGGACUGAGACACGGCCCAGACUCCUACGGGAGGCAGCAGUGGGGAAUAUUGGACAAUGGGGGCAACCCUGAUCCAGCCAUGCCGCGUGAGUGAUGACGGCCUUAGGGUUGUAAAGCUCUUUUCUCCGGGACGAUAAUGACGGUACCGGAGGAAGAAGCCCCGGCUAACUUCGU
rnacentral:rRNA from 1 species